rnacentral:rRNA from 1 species
AACGAACGCUGGCGGCAGGCUUAACACAUGCAAGUCGAGCGCCCCGCAAGGGGAGCGGCAGACGGGUGAGUAACGCGUGGGAAUCUACCCAUCCCUACGGAAUAGCUCCGGGAAACUGGAAUUAAUACCGUAUACGCCCUACGGGGGAAAGAUUUAUCGGGGAUGGAUGAGCCCGCGUUGGAUUAGCUAGUUGGUGGGGUAAAGGCCUACCAAGGCGACGAUCCAUAGCUGGUCUGAGAGGAUGAUCAGCCACAUUGGGACUGAGACACGGCCCAAACUCCUACGGGAGGCAGCAGUGGGGAAUAUUGGACAAUGGGGGCAACCCUGAUCCAGCCAUGCCGCGUGAGUGAUGAAGGCCUUAGGGUUGUAAAGCUCUUUCACCGGGGAAGAUAAUGACGGUACUUGAGGAGGAAGCCCCGGCUAACUACGUGCCAGCAGCCGCCGCAG